rnacentral:rRNA from 1 species
AGAGUUUGAUCCUGGCUCAGGACUAACGCUGGCGGCGUGCCUAACACAUGCAAGUCGAACGAGUUGUUUAUAGUAGCAAUAUUGUGAACAGCAAGUGGCGAACGGGUGAGUAACACGUAGAUAAUCUGCCUUUCAGACGGGGAUAACUCAGGGAAACUUGUGCUAAUACCCGAUGAGACUACGAGGGGGGACCUUCGCAGCCAAAGGUGGGCGAAAGCUCACGCUGGAAGAUGAGUCUGCGUCCUAUCAGCUAGUUGGUGGGGUAAAAGCCUACCAAGGCGAAGACGGGUAGCCGGCCUGAGAGGGUGAACGGCCACACUGGGACUGAGACACGGCCCAGACUCCUACGGGAGGCAGCAGUGAGGAAUUUUCCGCAAUGGGCGCAAGCCUGACGGAGCGACGCCGCGUGAGGGAUGACGGCCUUCGGGUUGUAAACCUCUUUUAUUAAGGAAAAAGGCAAUCGUGCUAACACCACGGUUGUUUGAUGGUACUUAUUGAAUAAGCCCCGGCUAACUACGUGCCAGCAGCCGCGGUAAUACGUAGGGGGCGAGCGUUGUCCGGAGUUACUGGGCGUAAAGAGCGUGUAGGCGGUUGAAAAAGUCAGGUGUGAAAUUCUUCGGCUCAACCGAGGGACUGCGCCUGAAACUUUUCGACUGGAGUUCGGGAGGGGCAACUGGAAUUCCUGGUGUAACGGUGAAAUGUGUAGAUAUCAGGAGGAACACCCGUGGCGAAGGCGGGUUGCUGGACCGAAACUGACGCUGAGACGCGAAAGCGUGGGUAGCAAACAGGAUUAGAUACCCUGGUAGUCCACGCU